AAACAAUACUUAAACGACCCUUGACUAUGCAAAAUCAGAGUGUUGAAUAGAGUUCUGUGAUUGGUUCGCUUAUGUUACGCACUUCACUCCGCUAACUGACAUGACAUUCCUGUCAUUCAAACGGUGCAACGGUUUAUAAGUGUCGUUAUUUUGUGGAUUUGUGAAUUAAAUAAUAUAAAUAAAUAUGGAUAAAACUACAACUAUCAGAUAAAAAAGCUGCCGUUUUCUUCUUCCGAAAGAGAGCUGCUGAUUGUAGCUUAAUAAGAGAAAGGCCUAUUAUUGAAGACAAGCAUAUUAUUAUCCUCUCUAAAAUAUCAAGUUGACGAAGCAGGCCUGGGAAACUCUAACAGUGGCUUACAAUUCUCAACCAUAUUUUAUGUUUCACAAAGGCUCACACAUCAACUGAAAAGCUGCUGGAAUAAUUUAAAGACCCAAAGAAUGAAAGAACUUUCUCAGGAAUCAAUCAAACGUUCUCAACACCCACUAGUAGGUAUCAAGAAAUUAAGAUUAGUAGUAGCAAGAAUGAAGAUUAAGACAGAAACAAGAAUCAAACGCACCACAUUGAAU